rnacentral:rRNA from 1 species
UACGUAGGCAGCGAGCGUUGUUCGGAGUUACUGGGCGUACAGCGCGCGCAGGCGGUUGCGUAUGUGAGCGGUGACAUCCGCGGGCUCAACCCGCGGCGGCCCGCUUACACAGCGCGACUGGAGGCAGGGAGAGGGAUGUGGAAUACCCGGUGGAGCGGUGAAAUGCGUAGAGAUCGGGUGGAACACCAGCGGCGAAGGCGGCAUCCUGGCCCUGUACUGACGCUGAGGCGCGAUAGCGUGGGGAGCAAACGGG